AUUUUACUUGUUUUUUGAAGAAAGUCGAGAUGCGGUGGUACUUUGAUGGAUAUGAGUGCAAACAGAUGGCCCUUGUGCUUUAUGUUGAUGGAUGAUGAAGUUCUUUAAGCUCAAGAGUGCUUGGAGAUGAAUGAAUCACGAUCUGCCAUUGGGAGAGCUUGAAGAAAACAGAGCUUGAAAUGAUGGUUCCAGCUGGUAAAUGAUGUUGCAAAAAGCUUCUAAAUAUUGUG
rnacentral:lncRNA from 1 species